CUGGAAUAAUACGCCGAAAGGGGUACUAAUACCGGAUAUUCUUGCUUUAUAUAAGUUUUGCAAGCAAAGGUGGCCUCUGACAUAAGCUACUGCAUGAAGAGGGGUCUGCGUACCAUUAGCUUGUAGGUGGGGUAAUGGCCUACCUAGGCAACGAUGGUUAGCGGGUCUGAGAGGAUGAUCCGCCACACUGGCACUGGAACACGGGCCAGACUCCUACGGGAGGCAGCAGUGAGGAAUAUUGCGCAAUGGGGGCAACCCUGACGCAGCGACGCCGCGUGAGUGAGGAAGGCCUUCGGGUCAUAAAGCUCUGUCAAAGGGAAAGAAAUGUAUAAUGGCUAAUACCUGUUAUAUUUGACGGUACCCUUAAAGGAAGCACCGGCUAACUCCGUGCCAGCAGCCGCGGUAAUACGGAGGGUGCAAGCGUUGUUCGGAAUUACUGGGCGUAAAGGGCGCGUAGGCGGUUUGAUAAGUCAGAUGUGAAAGCCCACGGCUUAACUGUGGAAGUGCAUUUGAUACUGUCAGACUUGAGUACCAGAGGGGAAAGUGGAAUUCCCGGUGUAGAGGUGAAAUUCGUAGAUAUCGGGAGGAAUACCGGUGGCGAAGGCGACUUUCUGGCUGGAUACUGACGCUGA
rnacentral:rRNA from 1 species